UCUCUCCUAUGUUGCAAUCCUGGCCA
rnacentral:piRNA from 1 species